GAUGAACGCUGGCGGCGUGCCUAAUACAUGCAAGUCGAGCGAACGGACGAGAAGCUUGCUUUUCUGAUGUUAGCGGCGGACGGGUGAGUAACACGUGGAUAACCUACCUAUAAGACUGGGAUAACUUCGGGAAACCGGAGCUAAUAUCGGAUAAUAUUUUGAACCGCAUGGUUCAAAAGUGAAAGACGGUCUUGCUGUCACUUAUAGAUGGAUCCGCGCUGCAUUAGCUAGUUGGUAAGGUAACGGCUUACCAAGGCAACGAUGCAUAGCCGACCUGAGAGGGUGAUCGGCCACACUGGAACUGAGACACGGUCCAGACUCCUACGGGAGGCAGCAGUAGGGAAUCUUCCGCAAUGGGCGAAAGCCUGACGGAGCAACGCCGCGUGAGUGAUGAAGGUCUUCGGAUCGUAAAACUCUGUUAUUAGGGAAGAACAUAUGUGUAAGUAACUGUGCACAUCUUGACGGUACCUAAUCAGAAAGCCACGGCUAACUCCGUG
rnacentral:rRNA from 1 species